rnacentral:SRP_RNA from 1 species
UGGGCUCCGUGCGAUGCAGCGGUGUGAACCCUGUCAGGUCCGAGAGGAAGCAGCAGUAAGCGCAAGUGCGCAUGUGCCGCGGGUCUGUCUGU